GUAACUCCAAGGACAAAGUUAUGUCCAUCUUGCUUUAAUCUCAUCUCCUCGUGAAUACACUUGUUAGUAAGCUCAUUCACAUUACACUAUUCAUUAUUAGUGUUAUAGUGAAUUUUGAAUGGAGCAAACUACGAAGGAAGUGAGUUAAGGACAAAUUGAAAUAAGAAUGACUCAUCUAUGUUCAUGCCCAAUGCCUUAAGUGUUGUAGCCUUUUCAGCCAUGUUCAAAAUGUGUUGUUGAAUUCCUUUCUGUCCAUUAUAUUUCAUGGUGGUCAAUUCAGCCAUCAAUGUGCCUAUAAGAGACUUAUCAGUGCAUUUGAAACACUCCUCCACAGAU
rnacentral:lncRNA from 1 species